CAGCAGUGAGGAAUAUUGGUCAAUGGGCGGAAGCCUGAACCAGCCAAGUCGCGUGAGGGAUUAAGGCCCUGCGGGUCGUAAACCUCUUUUGCCGGGGAGCAGUGGUCCGGACGCGUCCGGGCCGGGAGAGUACCCGGAGAAAAAGCAUCGGCUAACUCCGUGCCAGCAGCCGCGGUAAUACGGAGGAUGCGAGCGUUAUCCGGAUUUAUUGGGUUUAAAGGGUGCGUAGGCGGGCAUUUAAGCCGGCGGUCAAAUGUCGGGGCUCAACCCCGGCCUGCCGUCGGAACUGGGUGCCUUGAGUGGGCGAGAAGUAUGCGGAAUGCGUGGUGUAGCGGUGAAAUGCAUAGAUAUCACGCAGAACCCCGAUUGCGAAGGCAGCAUACCGGCGCCCGACUGACGCUGAGGCACGAAAGUGCGGGUAUCGAACAGGAUUAGA
rnacentral:rRNA from 1 species